UACGUAGGGGGCAAGCGUUAUCCGGAAUGAUUGGGCGUAAAGCGUCCGCAGGUGGCUAUGUAAGUCUGCUGUUAAAGAGUGAGGCUCAACCUCAUAAGAGCAGUGGAAACUACAUGGCUAGAGUGCGUUCGGGGCAGAGGGAAUUCCUGGUGUAGCGGUGAAAUGCGUAGAGAUCAGGAAGAACACCGGUGGCGAAAGCGCUCUGCUAGGCCGCAACUGACACUGAGGGACGAAAGCUAGGGGAGCGAAUGGG
rnacentral:rRNA from 1 species